rnacentral:SRP_RNA from 1 species
UUGGAGAUCGGUGACGGGCGGAGUCCUCGCCAAUCUGGUCAGGGCCGAGAGGCAGCAGCCACAACGAGUUUCGCUCCGGGUCGUCUGCCGGUCUCCACCUUC